AUACUACCCCCGCCACAAUCACUAUGAAUUGGCUAAACCUGAGUUACCUAUCUUCCCCCGGAGCUCACAGCCUCGGGUCCGCCCCCUUUGAACUCUGCGGGCUGUACCUGGAGGAGCCUGAGGGCCCAGGAGGAAAUCAAGAUGGCCGCACGAGGCGAGCGGAGGGACGCAGACGAGCAAUGCCAGAAGUCCACCACCGGCUUCUCACGUAUCAGAUAUAACAGCUAUUUAACUGGCACAUCUACACAGCCGUUCCUGACAGGAAGUGCAUUAAGACAGUGGAUGUAACUGAAGCUGCAGAUUUGGAGAGACAGCAUCCCAAAUGACCAACUGGGCAUGUGGCCAGAAUAUUGCAGGACUUCUUCCAGUCUCUUCUCAUAGUGACUGGCCAUGGCUUAGGACUGUUCAAAGUGCCCUGCAUGAUAUAUGAAAACCAUCUUCUGAAAAUGGAAAUCAUACAGAACGAAUGGCAGAGACAGAUACCGAGCCAACAGAUGACAAGAGGACUAGCUCCAUUCUCUGGAAAAUACGAUGAUAAGAAACAGAUUUCAGCUGUUCCUUAAGUUUUCCCUCUACUGGACAACAAAGCUGCCAAGGAAUGAGGAUACGCAGAUUAGGACACACACGUAACCCCUCCACCUGCAGUGCGUCCUGACAAGUCAGUGUGGCUUUGAUUCAAGUACGGGAGACCUACCUGGGAAGCGAGAUCGUCUUCUUAUGUGAAACACUGUAUUCCGUAGAAGAAUCAAGUAAAGCAGCAUUCUUCAGCUGCCAUGGGCCAGAAUUGAAAGUAUCACACUAAAUUUGUGAGAAUGGACAGAACGGUAAAUGGAAAUAUAUAAAGAAGCGAUUUGCACUGGGACCUAAUCAAGACAACAAGAUCGAAGGUGGUGAAAAAACUGUUACUGUGAAACAAAAAACUCUCCAGCUGUUGGGUGACUUCAUGAAGGGACUCUCUUGUCCAACUGUAGAGUCCAAAGAUGUUUGAUGAAUUUGGGCUUGAUUCCAGCAGGUAUGGCUAUCCAAGGAGACUCAGUCUGCAGAAUGGAAAUACAGCCAAAGGAGUCCAUAGGCAUCAGCCUAGACUAGAAGUCAAGAGACGGAUGGAGCUGUGGUUUUAAAUGAUAUAUAGCAGAACCUCCUUGAGUAGCGAGAGAGUCCAGGUAACAGAGCUCAGCCUCCAUGGAUAAGCCUGUCAAAGUUAGGCAGAAUGUCAGGGCCCCAGCCAAGUGGGCUUGGGUGCAGGGAAAAGCUCUACAUCCAGAUGGAGUCUGAAGUGAUGAGAGAAAACCAAAACAGAUGUCUGGAUAUAUACAUAGAUUUAACCAACACAAGUGGGCUAAGGGGAAACUAUUCAUUCAGUAAGCAAACUGUGGGGGAAACAGGAAGCACGUGGACCCCAGGUCCUCUCCUCUUGCGAAGGGUGCAGAUGUAUUUUCUGCCAUGGUGAGAAUCAUUUCAGGCUUUGGUUGAGGUUUGAACUCGAAUGAAAGGGGCAUUUGUGAUUAUUGUUGAGUGGCACUAAAAAGACAUGAACUGAGCAAUUUAAAAAUAGUGCCAUGGCUUGGUAUAUAUAUAUUUUUAAAUGCAUAUAUGGGAUUCUUCCCAGGUGGCUCAGUGGUACAGAAUCAGCCUGUGAAUGCAGGAGAUGUGGGUUCGAUCCCUGGGUCCAGAAGAUCCCCAGGAGGAGGAAAUGGCAACCCACUCCAGUAUUCUUGCCUGGAGAAUUCCAUAGACCGAGGCGCCUGACAGGCUAUGGUCCAUGGGGUCACAAAAAAGUUGGACAUGGCUUAGUGACUAAACAACAACAACAACAUGGGAUUGUUGGGGAAAUUAUUUAUUAUGGUUUUAAUGUAUAGGCCCAAUAUAUUGGUGAAGUUUAAUUUAACUAUGAGUACAUUUUGACCUGAUCUUUAGGGUAAAUUUUGUA
ensembl:lncRNA